rnacentral:rRNA from 1 species
CCUACGGGGGGCUGCAGUGGGGAAUAUUGCGCAAUGGGGGCAACCCUGACGCAGCCAUGCCGCGUGAAUGAAGAAGGCCUUCGGGUUGUAAAGUUCUUUCGGUAGCGAGGAAGGCAUUUAGUUUAAUAGACUAGGUGAUUGACGUUAACUACAGAAGAAGCACCGGCUAACUCCGUGCCAGCAGCCGCGGUAAUACGGAGGGUGCGAGCGUUAAUCGGAAUAACUGGGCGUAAAGGGCACGCAGGCGGUGACUUAAGUGAGGUGUGAAAGCCCCGGGCUUAACCUGGGAAUUGCAUUUCAUACUGGGUCGCUAGAGUACUUUAGGGAGGGGUAGAAUUCCACGUGUAGCGGUGAAAUGCGUAGAGAUGUGGAGGAAUACCGAAGGCGAAGGCAGCCCCUUGGGAAUGUACUGACGCUCAUGUGCGAAAGCGUGGGGAGCA